UCAGCUACUGGGGCACGUGUGGAUGUGCUCUUCUUUUGGCUCUUGCUGACGUCCUUGAGGGCUUUGUCCACACCCUUCACAAAGUUAUCACAAAAUUGUUUGACAUCAAACUGAAAAUGUUUCCUUUUUGGAUCAGCUUCGCCUUUGGACGUUUUGAACUGCUCUUUGCACCUCCUGUUCGGCAUCUUAUGUGGUCUUCUUUGGGCUAGUCUUUCCUGCACAGGAACAAAAUCAUCAAAAACAUUCAAUGAAUUUUGAGAUGAAGAUUUAAAGUUAGCCUCUCGCUGGAAUUUCUUCUUGCUACUUCCCUUGUGAAGACCAAAC
rnacentral:lncRNA from 1 species